UUGAAAGUAACGAUACUACUUCUGGUAAUAAUUUCAAUAACAGGAUUUAUGCAACUGAUGAUGACAAUAAUGACGUAAAAGUUAUAAAUACUAAGGCAAUGGUAGUACUAGUAUUACCACUACUACUACUAACAUUAACAGCGUCUUCCACGGCCACCGCAUUCCCAUUACCUGGCGCAGAUUUCUCCCAUCUUCAGGACAGAAUAUAUGGGAGCAGAAGGUGACCCACGCCACGGAGUCAAGCGGACGGCGACAUCGACGGAAGUUACACAACAGGAGCUCGUUGUCAACCAUGAUGAGUGAGGCGAUAUUCAAAGAGUAAUGCAGAUUCAAUAAUGUUGAGACCUGUUUUAUCCCAAUCUUGUCAAUGGUUACUCUGGG